AAGAAGUGGCCACGGAUUCGGAGUUGAGUCGGAAGGCCUGCGGCUGGGCUAAGAUGGAAGCGGGGAGAAAGAGAGGAUGCGGACGCCUGGGGGCGCUGGUGGUCGGGUUGCUGUGGAGCCGGAGGGCGCAGGCGGUGGCUGUGGGGCGCGCUGCGUGCCCGGCUCCUCUCCAGAAAGGAACCCCGAAAGGAACCUGUGAAACAACCCGUUUAGGGGCUCCGGCCUUCGUGGGAGGAAGCAAAGCUUUCCCAACUGCGUGUCUUCCUGGUUGCAACUCCGCUGCCCUUCGCUGGGUCCGCGCCUUGGCGCUCAAGGCCCCUCCAGUGAGCAAGCCAUGGUUCUUCUAACAGUCAUUUAAAGUGCCUGAGAGAUUUUCUCCAAGAACAGGCAGUUCAGAGGCUCUGCGUGAGGUGCUCCUUGACAAGAGACCAUCAGAGCUGGUGAUGCCGGCGUGCAGCAGUUCAGACCUGCUGGGGGAUAAAAGGCCACUGCCCUAAGUCCCUUAAGCACCUCCACUCCCCAUGGAGAAUAUCUCGGCCCCUCCACACCUCCGCAGACCUGGAAACAGAAGAGGUAACACCUGGCCCUGCAGGGUCCCCCACACAGACUGCUGGCAACUGUACUAGUGGCUCAGUGGUUGAGUCACACUGGUUGUUCAACAUUUUGACUAGCACCCAUGAAGAAAGAGCAAGCUCUCUGUCACCAAAGCCUUAUUGUCACUACCUGGUCUUCAGUAGAAGGCAAGGACCAACUUCACAAAGAGUGCUGUCAGGGAGGCAGUGGCUCCUAACGUCUUUGUGUAGUUGCUCUAAAUUGGAAACACAUGAUCCUUGACUAAAUAGCCUUUAAUCCACUUGUCAAACAAGUUCUGAGGCUUUCAGGGAAUGCCUGGGCCACCCCCUCUGUCUGGAACAAAGCCUGGUUUUGUUUCUUGGUAAUCCCAGACCUGUUUGCUUCAGCAUUUUAUCUGUUGUUUUCACCCUCCUCUGAUAAACUUUCUAAUUGCUUUACAGGGAAAAGAAAAAGAUUUACCAGCAGUUUUUUUGGUCUCCAGCUCCUUAGCUUUAAAUAUUCUUCCAGUACCUGCGCACAGUAGACAUUGCUCAUGGUGUUUAGUGUCCCCAGAUACCCACAGCUGUGACAGUUCUUGCUAUUCUUCCAGUGGCUUCACAGUCACACUGUGAGGUUCCCUUGGAACUACAGAAUCUCUGUCCCAGAAUCUCUGGCCAUCCUUCCCCAUUGUAGAGAGGAUUCACCCUACAACAUUCCCAAUACUGUGAAACACCCUCUUAUUGCAAUUUUGGGCACAGAGAAGUGAAUUUGCCCUUAUUGCCCUGUAGAAGUCAAUGGAAAUAUUCAUUUUUGCAUAAAUUAACACAUAGAAUAGGCCGGCCUCCAUUUUUCUGGUUUCUGGAGAGUGAAAACUAUAAGGUCUGACACAGUCUCAGAUCCUAUUUCCAGAAGCCUAUUCACCUCUGGAUUGAACACUUGAAACCAAAACAUUUCCAUUUGCCAAUGCUCAUUUGAGUCCAUUUUUCUAACACAGCUGACAAAAUCCUGACUAGUGCAGAAAUUGGUCUUGCCUUAGGUUAUUGUCGAAAACUCUAGAAUGAUAAACUGAUGGGGUUGGGUGGCCCUUCAGAGAGGAUUGUUCUUUCCUGGCUGGAAACUUGACAAUUCUCACUUACUGGGUAUUUUUCCAUCUGCCCUAUCAAGCCCGCCUGUCAUGAGGGAGGCUUGAGGAAGCCCCUGGGAAGAUGUGUAGAGGUGAAUGGGAUCCAAGAUGGCAUCUCUGAUAGAGCCAGGAAGCUGGAGGGAGAGCUGAAGGAAUAGACGGGUGGGGCAGUUCUCAUCUCCCUUCUCUGCGAAGUAAGAAUCAAGGUUAUCUUCUGGGUGUCAAGGAGGCACAGAUGGAUGGGAGGUUUGGGAGAAGUGAUAACAAUCUGGGAAGGCUCUAGAAAAGGAUGGAGAGUGACUGACAGGAAACAAGUACUCAAUUUGGAGACUGAUGGAGAGGGGUUCCACUAAUCCUAGGAACCCAGUCUGACACAGCUUCAGUCCAAGGGAGGGCCAGCUGGCCAACUGUGGCUCUCUGGAUGCUGAGCAGCUCUGUGGGGCAGAGCUGGGGCAGCAGCCGAUGGGCUGAUGGACAGGCAGAGAUAGUGUGGGUGCAGUGGAAGAUGGGUGCUGAGGAGCUCAUACUCAGGCUGACAUCCUAUUGGAGUCCACCCUCCUUUGAAUGACAAACUGCACCUCUUCCCACAGUAGCCCAAAUUCCAAGAAACAGCAACUGAGAAGAUAGGCGUACACCUGAGGCAUGGGGUGGGGGAUGUGCCUUGACCAUUCUUGUCUGGCAUUAUAGUCUCCAUGAGAAAUUGUCCGUAGGAAAAAUGUCCAUUACAAAGAUUCCAUUUCAAAGCCUGGCUUGUAAAGGCCAACCUAAAAUAGCUUUUAGGUUUUAGGUGGUGAGAGAGGACAGCAUAUUUUCUCCCAUUGCCACCUGAUCAAUCAAAUUCAACAAGACUGAGCCUCAGCUGGCAAAACAGUAUUUCCUAUUCCAAAGACAGCUCAUCCCAAGAGAUUAAAAAUUAGACCAAUAGUUGUCCACUAGAAAACUCCUUAUUAUAAUUAUAGCAAGGAAUAGAAAGCCUCAUUUAUAGGGUGUUUUAUGUUCAUUCUUUGCCAUCUGUUACUUUCCUGAGUCUUCACAAUAGCCCUGGGAGGUAAACAGGCUUAUCCCACUCUUUCUAUAUUUGGGAUGAUGAUGUGAGGUGCCCCAUGCUCAUUCUUCCUCCUUUGCCCUGCUCUCUGAGACUAAAGGCAUUUCCCUCUGACAGUGUAUGGAAGUCUACAAUUUACUAGCUAGUCACCGGAUUUCCCUCCACCCUCACCCCCACCCCGCCCAGUCUCAAGCCUUGCUCACUGCUGCUUAAAAGCCAUAAUACAGUUUGUUACAAUAAACGUUUCAAAGGCUCACUUGUAAAAUGGACUUGGCAAAAAGGCAAAGGGCCAAGCAGUAUUUUUUCUGUAUCAUUUGUCUCCCGUGGGAGGGAUGAAUCUAUGUUAAUUAAAUUAAUUAAAUUGCAAGACCAGCUACCUGUCAAUUUGGCAAACAUGAAUCCCUCUGGGUUACUAUAAGGGAAGUUGUGUUUCUGAAAAUAAAAUAAUCCUGGAUUGGUACUUGAAAGGAGAGAGUUGCUGUGCAAUCAGAAGGCACCACAUGGGCACUCGAUGAAUAUUUAUCAAAUCAAUGCAUCAGAACUCCUGCAUUUGCCAAUACGUUGCACCUUUUCUCAAAGGCCUAUCUGUGAACUACAGGGAAGCAAUGUUUGGGGAUCAACAGGAAAGAUAUUUACCCAGUAGAUAUGACAAGAUGUCACAUGGUAUCUCAUAAAAUGUGAAAUUGAAGCUACUUCUAAGAGGAAAUUAGAAAGUAAAAACAUACAUGUACCAAGAUCAUCCACUUAUAGAAGGCAGCUGCCCCACCUCCCCUCUUCCCCAGAAGCACCAGCUGCAGACAGAUCUCAUGAUGGAGAGGGUGUGUUCCCAGUGAAGUAUGGCCUCGUGCUUGUGGCUUUUGGCACUGUCCCAGUGUGAAAGCAAAUGGCACAUCACAGAGACAAAAUCCAGCAGAGAAUUGCCAACACUGCCCAGAGU